rnacentral:rRNA from 1 species
GACGAACGCUGGCGGCGUGCCUAAUACAUGCAAGUCGAGCGAGCGGAACUAACAGAUUUACUUCGGUAAUGACGUUAGGAAAGCGAGCGGCGGAGGGGGGAGUAACACGUGGGGAACCUGCCCCAUAGUCUGGGAUACCACUUGGAAACAGGUGCUAAUACCGGCUAAGAAAGCAGAUCGCAUGAUCAGCUUUUAAAAGGCGGCGUAAGCUGUCGCGAUGGGAUGGCCCCGCGGUGCAUUAGCUAGUUGGUAAGGUAAAGGCUUACCAAGGCGAUGAUGCAUAGCCGAGUUGAGAGACUGAUCGGCCACAUUGGGACUGAGACACGGCCCAAACUCCUACGGGAGGCAGCAGUAGGGAAUCUUCCACAAUGGACGCAAGUCUGAUGGAGCAACGCCGCGUGAGUGAAGAAGGUUUUCGGAUCGUAAAGCUCUGUUGUUGGUGAAGAAGGAUAGGGGUAGUAACUGGCCUUUAUUUGACGGUAAUCAACCAGAAAGUCACGGCUAACUACGUG